ensembl:lncRNA
UUCUUUCUGAACACAGGUUUUGUUUAUUUCACUUCACAUUGAAGGAUGAGAGAAGUCAUCAGGGAGUUCUCAGGAUGGGGAUGCAGCAUCAAUGGACAAGAAGAGGUCAUGUGGAGAGGAAAGAGGACAAGGCAGCAGAGAACGGCAGGGCUGUUCCUGCUGAGUGCUGCGCUGCCGGGGGCGGUCACUUCUGCUGGCCAGGAAAGUAGCAGGCCUGCUUGGUCUGGUGGCUCUCGAUGUGAGGAAUGACAAUGGGGCAUUUCUGCUGCGAGGACUGGCCGUACCCACCACUGCCUCCUCCGGAGCUGAUGAUGAUGGUGUGGCCCGAGGAACCGCCACUGCCCCCACUGGAUCCCCCACCGCAGCAUCCGGAGGAUCCCCCACUGCUUCCACCUCCUCCAAUGAUGAUCUUGCCUCCAGAAGAUCCACCACUGCUGGAUCCCCCACCACAGCAUCCAGAUGAGCCACCUCCUCCACCUCCAGAGCUAAUGAUGAUCUUCUGGCCUGAUCCCCCACUGCCAUAGCUGGAAGAGCCAUAGCCAGAAGAGCCAUAGCCAGAAGAGCCACCACCGCAGCAUCCAGAGGAACCUCCACUGCUUCCACCUCCAAUGAUGCUCUUGGAUCCUGAAUAACCACCACUAGAUCCUCCACCCAUUCCAUAGCUGGAUCCCCCACUACAGCAUCCAGAGGAUCCCCCACUGCUCCCACCUCCAGUAAUGAUGAUCUUUCCUUCUGAAGAGCCACCACUGCUGGAUCCCCCACCACAGCAACCAGAGGAUCCCCCACUGCUUCCACCUCCAAUGAUGCUCUUGGAGCCUGAGUAACCACCACUGCUGUAUCCUCCUCCUAUUCCGAAGCCCGAGGAGCCUCCACUGCAGCAUCCAGAGGAUCCCCCACUGCUUCCACCUCCUGUAAUUAUGAUCUUGCCACCUGAAGAGCCACCACUGCUGGAUCCCCCACCACAGAAUCCUGAGGAUCCACCACUGCUUCCACCUCCUCCAAUGAUGCUCUUGGAGCCUGAGUAACCACCACUGCUGUAUCCUCCUCCUAUUCCGUAGCCCGAGGAGCCUCCACUGCAGCACCCAGAGGAUCCCCCACUGCUUCCACCUCCUCCAAUGAUGAUCUUGCCUCCCGAAGACCCACCACUGCUGGAUCCUCCACCACAGCAACCAGAGGAUCCACCACUGCUCCCACCUCCAAUGAUGCUCUUGGAGCCUGAGUAACCACCACUGCUGUAUCCUCCUCCCAUGCCGUAGCUCGAGGAGCCUCCACUGCAGCACCCAGAGGAUCCCCCACUGCUCCCACCUCCAGUAAUUAUGAUCUUGCCACCUGAAGAGCCACCACUGCUGGAUCCUCCACCACAGCAUCCAGAGGAUCCACCACUGCUUCCACCUCCUCCAAUGAUGCUCUUGGAUCCCGAGUAACCACCACUGCUGUAUCCUCCUCCUAUUCCGUAGCCUGAGGAGCCUCCACUGCAGCACCCAGAGGAUCCCCCACUGCUUCCACCUCCUGUAAUUAUGAUCUUGCCACCUGAAGACCCACCACUGCUGGAUCCCCCACCACAGCAACCAGAGGAUCCACCACUGCUUCCACCUCCUCCAAUGAUGCUCUUGGAGCCCGAGUAACCACCACUGCUGUAUCCUCCUCCUAUUCCGUAGCCCGAGGAGCCUCCACUGCAGCACCCAGAGGAUCCCCCACUGCUCCCACCUCCAGUAAUUAUGAUCUUGCCACCUGAAGACCCACCACUGCUGGAUCCUCCACCACAGCAUCCAGAGGAUCCACCACUGCUCCCACCUCCAAUGAUGCUCUUGGAGCCUGAGUAACCACCACUGCUGUAUCCUCCUCCCAUGCCGUAGCUCGAGGAGCCUCCACUGCAGCACCCAGAGGAUCCCCCACUGCUCCCACCUCCAGUAAUUAUGAUCUUGCCACCUGAAGAGCCACCACUGCUGGAUCCUCCACCACAGCAUCCAGAGGAUCCACCACUGCUUCCACCUCCUCCAAUGAUGCUCUUGGAUCCCGAGUAACCACCACUGCUGUAUCCUCCUCCUAUUCCGUAGCCCGAGGAGCCUCCACUGCAGCACCCAGAGGAUCCCCCACUACUUCCACCUCCUCCAAUGAUUAUCUUGCCUCCUGAAGACCCACCACUGCUGGAUCCUCCACCACAGCAUCCAGACGAACCUCCUCCUCCUCCUCCUGAGCUAAUGAUGAUCUUCUGGCUCGAUCCCCCACUGCCACCGCUGUAUCCUCCUCCCAUGCUGUAUCCCGAGGAGCCCCCGCAGCAGGAGGAGCCCUGUGCCUGGUAGCUGGAGGAGCUGCCCCCACUGCAGCAUCCCCCGGACUGGGAAGAUGACUCGUGGCAGCCUCCGGAGCUCUGUCGGGAACACAUCUCUGUGCAGUGGCCCUGCAAGAAAGCAUAUAUUUGUUACUGAAAAGAAGACACUACUAUCAAAAUGAUCCCUGCCUCCAGGAUCAUUGGUCCAUUGAAAGAAUAUUUCCCAGCAUUCACUGAAUUUCCUUCCAGAUAACUGUCACCCAUGUAUUCCAACCACAUAUAAAGCCUUUACUCUCAGGACAGCACAGGACUACUGAAGAUAAUGAAGCUAAACUCCUCAAUUUAGAGACUUUUUCCAAAAAUGUUCCCUCUGGAUCUCUGUCCUCGUAAUUUCCAGUGUCAUGGGGCGAUCCUUCGUCAGCUAAUAUCCUCAAGAAAUUUAAAUUCGCCAAAACAACCUCCCUAAGCUUCAAGUCACCACCCAUCUGGUGUGCUCCACCAAGGCGGUUCUGUUUUGCAAGCACAAAAAUCAGAAGAAUUGCUCCCGUAAGCAGAAAUGGACUUACCCUUCUUGGUUCUGAUGACACGUUCAACAGCGCAACUCUGAGCGAGUGAUGGACUACAGAACCAAGC